GUACACUCCUGCGGGAGGCAGCAGUGGGGAAUAUUGGACAAUGGGCGCAAGCCUGAUCCAGCCAUGCCGCGUGAGUGAUGAAGGCCCUAGGGUUGUAAAGCUCUUUCACCGGUGAAGAUAAUGACGGUAACCGGAGAAGAAGCCCCGGCUAACUUCGUGCCAGCAGCCGCGGUAAUACGAAGGGGGCUAGCGUUGUUCGGAUUUACUGGGCGUAAAGCGCACGUAGGCGGACUAUUAAGUCAAGGGUGAAAUCCCGGGGCUCAACCCCGGAACUGCCUUUGAUACUGGUAGUCUUGAGUUCGAGAGAGGUGAGUGGAAUUCCGAGUGUAGAGGUGAAAUUCGUAGAUAUUCGGAGGAACACCAGUGGCGAAGGCGGCUCACUGGCUCGAUACUGACGCUGAGGUGCGAAAGCGUGGGGAGCAAACAGGAUUAGAAACCCUAGUAGUCCCAUGA
rnacentral:rRNA from 1 species